rnacentral:sRNA from 1 species
UUUUUAUAGUUUUAGUAGAGACUGGGUUUCCCCAUGUUGGCCAGUCUGGUCUCGAACUCCUGACCUCAGGUGAUUCGCCCACCUCAGCCUCCCAAAGUGCUGGGAUUACAGACAUGAGCCACCGUGCCUGGCCUGAGUUUUACUCUUUCUUUGGCCACAGCCCUGGGGUCCAGUCAGGGAGGGAGAUAGGGUCCCACAAGCAGGGGAGAGCAGGGUGAGCCGGGAGCGCCUCCACACCGGCUUCUAUCUCUCAGUUUCCUGUGCCUGGUCCCCGAGGAAGCCAAGACCUCUGCCUUCCUGGAGGAGACAGGCUAUGACACAUACGUCCACGAUGCUUAUGGCCUGUUCCAGGAGUGCAGCUCCCGCGUCGCCUCCUGGGGCUGGCCUCUGACCCCCACACCUUUGGACCCCCAUGAGCCCGAGCGACCUUUCUUCGAGGGCCACUUCCUCCGAGUGCUGUUUGACCGCAUGUCCCGGAUUCUGGAUCAGGUAGCUAGUGGGCCUGGGCCAGGAGAACUCCAGGCUGGUGCCUCUGGGGUCCUUCAAGAGCAGAGGUUGGCCACAGGGUUGCCUCUGCUUCGGUUCUUUGGU